AGUGAACGCUGGCGGUAGGCCUAACACAUGCAAGUCGAACGGCAGCACAGUAAGAUCUUGCUCUUACGGGUGGCGAGUGGCGGACGGGUGAGGAAUACAUCGGAAUCUACUUUUUCGUGGGUGAUAACGUAGGGAAACUUACGCUAAUACCGCAUACGACCUACGGGUGAAAGCAGGGGAUCUUCGCAGCUUUCGCGAUUGAAUGAGCCGAUGUCGGAUUAGCUAGUUGGCGGGGUAAAGGCCCACCAAGGCGACGAUCCGUAGCUGGUCUGAGAGGAUGAACAGACACACUGGAACUGAGACACGGUCCAGACUCCUACGGGAGGCAGCAGUGGGGAAUAUUGGACAAUGGGCGCAAGCCUGAUCCAGCCAUACCGCGUGGGUGAAGAAGGCCUUCGGGUUGUAAAGCCCUUUUGUUGGGAAAGAAAAGCAGCAGGUUAAUACCCCGCUGUUCUGACGGUACCCAAAGAAUAAGCACCGGCUAACUUCGUG
rnacentral:rRNA from 1 species